rnacentral:rRNA from 1 species
GGAAAAGAAACCAACAGGGAUUGCCCUAGUAACGGCGAGUGAAGCGGCAUCAGCUCAAAUUUGAAAUCUGGCUCUUUUAGGGUCCGAGUUGUAAUUUGCAGAGGGCGCUUUGGCGUUGGCAGCGGUCCAAGUUCCUUGGAACAGGACGUCACAGAGGGUGAGAAUCCCGUACGUGGUCGCUGGCCUUCGCCGUGUAAAGCCCCUUCGACGAGUCGAGUUGUUUGGGAAUGCAGCUCUAAAUGGGAGGUAAAUUUCUUCUAAAGCUAAAUACUGGCCAGAGACCGAUAGCGCACAAGUAGAGUGAUCGAAAGAUGAAAAGCACUUUGGAAAGAGAGUCAAAUAGCACGUGAAAUUGUUGAAAGGGAAGCGCUUGCAGCCAGACUUGCCUGUAGUUGCUCAUCCGGGCUUUUGCCCGGUGCACUCUUCUGCGGGCAGGCCAGCAUCAGUCUAGGCGGUUGGAUAAAGGCCUCUGUCAUGUACCUCCCUUCGGGGAGGCCUUAUAGGGGAGGCGUAAUGCAACCAGCUUGGACUGAGGUCCGCGCAUUUGCUAGGAUGCUGGCGUAAUGGCUGUAAGCGGCCCGUCUUGAAACACGGACCAAGGAGUCUAACAUCUAUGCGAGUGUUUGGGUGUCAAGCCCGAACGCGUAAUGAAAGUGAACGGAGGUGGGAUCCCUUUAGGGUGCACCAUCGACCGAUCCUGAUGUCUUCGGAUGGAUUUGAGUAAGAGCAUGGCUGUUGGGACCCGAAAGAUGGUGAACUAUGCUUGAAUAGGGUGAAGCCAGAGGAAACUCUGGUGGAGGCUCGCAGCGGUUCUGACGUGCAAAUCGAUCGUCAAAUUUGGGCAUAGGGGCGAAAGACUAAUCGAACUAUCUAGUAGCUGGUUCCUGCCGAAGUUUCCC